AUUGAACGCUGGCGGCAGGCCUAACACAUGCAAGUCGAACGAGUGGGGGACGGGUGAGUAAUGACUGGGAAACUGCCUGGGGGAGGGGGUUCACUAAUGGAAACGGUAGCUACUACCGUCUACCAUCGGCUGUGCCCAGAUGGGUUUAGCUAGUGGGUGGGGUAAAGGAUCACCUAGGCGACGAUCCGUAGCUGGUCUGAGAGGAUGACCAGCCACACUGGAACUGAGACACGGUCCAGACUCCUACGGGAGGCAGCAGUGGGGAAUAUUGCACAAUGGGCGAAAGCCUGAUGCAGCCAUGCCGCGUGUGUGAAGAAGGCCUUCGGGUUGUAAAGCACUUUCAGCUGGGAGGCGUUACCCGCAGAAGAAGCACCGGCUAACUCCGUGCCAGCAGCCGCGGUAAUUC
rnacentral:rRNA from 1 species